CUGUGUGUCUUUUCCUUUAAAGGGAGGGAGGGACGGGGACACAUAUGCCAGUCUGCAGCUCCCCAACAUCAGCCCUGACUAUGACGUGCUGCAGGUAAAAAACAAGCAUCAGAAAGACACAGGGACUACACAAGAAGAGAACGAUGAUUACCAGAACCUUGAAUAUGGAAACAAACCAGAUUCAGGGGCUAAUUAAAAAUGUGAGCGUGUUGUGUUUCUUUUAUAGCAGAUGUAUUUUUGUGUUAAAAACAAACAAAAAAAAACACAGAAUGUUGAGGGUAAUGUUUAUCUAUCUGUCCUAAGAGCAUUUUUAUAACAUGCAGAGAUGUUUAUUUAGUAUUUAUCCUGAAGAAUAGAAUCUAGUUUUUUUCAUUUUUCAUUCUUUUAACAGAAUCACUAUGUUUGUACACUGCACUUGCAUCCUUUGUGCUUUAAUGACUGUAUGCCAUAGGUUGUCGCAUAAAUUCGGCUGCUGUCUGUUUUUGAGAACACCAAAUCAAAAUUGCAUCCUCAUGGAUUUUCAAAGAAUGUUACAUUGUGCUCUAGGGAUGUGAUACGUUUUUAAAAAGUCCCUUGUCCCCCUCCUGAAUUUGGAAAGCUGGUUUUCAGUCAUUCUGCAUCUUAUGGUUCAAACAGUCUGCUGAAAAGCUUAAAGGAGAAAGACUAAUAUCAAUUACUGAUUUCAAACAUGGAAUUCAUGACUCAGGGACUGACGUAUGCUCCUGUAUUUAGCCUCUGCUCUGCUCUUUAAUUUCUAUUAUACUAUUGUCUCACUGCACAUUUGUUGUUUGUAACUUCAUUGGCAACUGUCUUAAUGGGUAACUCUGUAUUUUAUGUCAGGUCCCCCUUGUAAAAGAGAUCAAUCAGAAUGGGGUACUGCUGGUUAAAUAAAAAUUAAAUAAAUAUUAAAUAAAGAUUUAAUAAAUAUUUG